GAGCGGCCCGCGUCUGAUUAGCUAGUUGGUUGAGGUAACGGCUCACCAAGGCGACGAUCAGUAGCUGGUCUGAGAGGAUGGCCAGCCACAUUGGGACUGAGACACGGCCCAAACUCCUACGGGAGGCAGCAGUGGGGAAUCUUGCGCAAUGGGCGAAAGCCUGACGCAGCCAUGCCGCGUGAAUGAUGAAGGUCUUAGGAUUGUAAAAUUCUUUCACCGGGGACGAUAAUGACGGUACCCGGAGAAGAAGCCCCGGCUAACUUCGUGCCAGCAGCCGCGGUAAUACGAAGGGGGCUAGCGUUGCUCGGAAUUACUGGGCGUAAAGGGCGCGUAGGCGGACAUUUAAGUCAGGGGUGAAAUCCCAGAGCUCAACUCUGGAACUGCCUUUGAUACUGGGUGUCUUGAGUGUGAGAGAGGUAUGUGGAACUCCGAGUGUAGAGGUGAAAUUCGUAGAUAUUCGGAAGAACACCAGUGGCGAAGGCGACAUACUGGCUCAUUACUGACGCUGAGGCGCGAAAGCGUGGGGAGCAAACAGGAUUAGAUACCCUGGUAGUCCACGCC
rnacentral:rRNA from 1 species